UGGCUGUAGGCAAAGGAGGGCUACUCAGUGUUUGUGUCAGGGCCGCUGCUGAGCACUGUGGACCCACAGGGAGGAUGAGCAGAGCAGGUCGGUGCUGUGGUCCCUCCUGGCCAGGACACGGAAGCUUCUGGCUCUGAAUUUAAACCCGAAGACAGUCGAGAUCUCAAUGACAGCCAGACAGAGACAGCAUAAGAAAGAAGUGUCCUUUGCAAUUACCCAUCUGCAGUCUUCCAUCGCAGUGCUGACAGCUUCCAGGACAUGAAGUGGAAAAGCAUUUUACCAAACUUUCAGGCUUUGGCCAUCAAUUCCUUCACUUGAGACUAUUUACUCCUGCUUAUGUUUCUCGCCCUGUUAGACAUCACCCUUGAUGGUGAAAAAUGGGUUUAAUACUUGAGCAGUUAAAGUUGUACGCAGUCUAAGCUGGUAAUGUUAUUUUUCUUACACUUUCCUUAUAGCAAAUACCUCACCUCUGCUAUCCUCAGAUUAUUGUACAUGAAAUCCACCUUUAUUAGGAUAGAAUAGAAAAUCAAGAAUAAGAACUGGGUCAGUGGAGUGGUAUUGAUGCUGCACGUCGCUAUAAGCAUUCCCCAGAAUUUUUCCUAGUGCUUGGCAGUAGGCAGAGGACCAUUUCCAUCCCAGGAACCAGCUUGCCCAUGCCAACAGGUAGAUGGAUUUCCAAAUACCAAGUCUGGAAGACGUGGUUUAUCUCUCUAAUGAUCUAAAAGAAAGAUUUAAAUCCCCCAACUCAAGCCAAGCCUGAGGUGGUGGAGACUUGCUUAAUAGGUCCUCAGUGGCACACCCAAUGCAGCUUUGGUGUCUGAAAGGUGAAAGGAGAAAGAUGAUCUUUGGUAAAAGUGAUCACCUUUGGAAAGUCCGGGAGCUUCCCUUCCUGCCCACCCGGUGGGAAAACGUUUUCAUCUUUCAAAGCAUCUUUGUAACCUGCAGCAAUUUGGACUCGCCCAUUAUGAAAGCAGCUCUCUCGCAAGCUGUAAUUCCUUGCCUGGGUCUGUGUGUACUGAAAAGCUCUUAACGGGUGUCCUUUCUCCCACACUCCUUGUAUGCACAGCUCUCCCUCUCCCUCUCUUUC
ensembl:lncRNA